AUGGGAACGCGAAGAACCUUACCUAGACUUGACAUCCCCUGAAUAACGUAGAGAUACGCGAAGCCCUUCGGGGCAGGGAGACAGGUGGUGCAUGGUUGUCGUCAGCUCGUGUCGUGAGAUGUUGGGUUAAGUCCCGCAACGAGCGCAACCCUUAUCAUUAGUUGCUACCAUUUAGUUGAGCACUCUAGCGAGACUGCCUGGGUUAACCAGGAGGAAGGUGGGGAUGACGUCAAAUCAUCAUGCCCCUUAUGUUUAGGGCUACACACGUGCUACAAUGGCAAGUACAAAAAGAUGCAAUACCGCGAGGUGGAGCAAAACUCAAAAACUUGUCUCAGUUCGGAUUGUAGGCUGAAACUCGCCUACAUGAAGCUGGAGUUACUAGUAAUCGCGAAUCAGAAUGUCGCGGUGAAUACGUUCCCGGGUCUUGUACACACCG
rnacentral:rRNA from 1 species